AGGAGGGAGAAUCCAACUUCGAGUUCAGAUGGCGGCAGUUUAGCUUUGGUGGUUUCUGGAGGAGCAGGAGGCAGUAGACAGAGCAACAGGAGAUCGCGGUGAGGGAGGUUCAAGUUCAAGAUGAGAGACUUGAGCAAGAUCAGAUGUUACCGAUGUGAUGAGUUGGAACAUCUAGCCAGAGAUUGCCCUCAAUUCAAAGAUCGGACGAGGGCUACUGCAGCGACGGUCAGUAAUGAGUU
rnacentral:lncRNA from 1 species